CACGCCGGGACGGCAGCGCGCGCCGCGGCCGGGAGGAGGCGGAGGAGCCAAGAUGGACGCCGGGUUCUUCCGCGGAACCAGUGCAGAGCAGGACAAUCGCUUCAGCAACAAGCAGAAGAAGCUGUUGAAGCAGUUGAAGUUUGCAGAAUGCUUAGAAAAGAAGGUGGACAUGAGCAAAGUAAAUUUGGAAGUAAUCAAACCAUGGAUAACAAAACGAGUAACAGAAAUCCUUGGAUUUGAAGAUGAUGUAGUAAUUGAAUUUAUAUUCAACCAGUUGGAAGUGAAGAACCCAGAUUCCAAAAUGAUGCAAAUCAACCUGACUGGUUUUUUGAAUGGGAAAAAUGCUAGGGAGUUCAUGGGAGAGCUGUGGCCACUGCUAUUAAGUGCACAAGAAAACAUUGCUGGUAUUCCAACUGCAUUUCUGGAACUGAAGAAAGAAGAAAUAAAACAACGACAGAUAGAGCAGGAGAAACUGGCUUCCAUGAAGAAACAAGAUGAAGACAAAGAGAAGAGAGAUAAGGAAGACAAAGACAACAGAGAGAAAAGAGACAGAUCCAGGAGUCCAAGAAGGCGCAAGUCCCGCUCUCCCUCCCCGCGGCGGCGGUCGUCGCCCGUGCGCCGCGAGCGGAAGCGCAGCCACUCCCGCUCGCCCCACCACCGCACCAAGAGCCGCAGUGCCACCCCUGCCCCUGAGAAGAAAGAGGCCACUCCUGAGCCAGAGCCCUCCGUGAAACCAAAGGAGACUGUUGUGCAAGAGGCAACUUCAAACAGUGAUAUCCCAAAAGCUCCUAAACCUGAACCACCUGUACCAGAGACUAAGGAAACUUCACCAGAACGUAAUUCAAAGAAGGAGAGGGAGAGGGAGAAGGAGAAGGAGAAGACUCGUCAGAGAUCCCCAACUCGGUCCAAGUCCAGGUCAAGGUCCCGAUCCCGUUCUCCAUCUCAUUCUCGACCCAGAAGGCGCCAUAGAUCACGGUCAAGGUCUUACUCCCCUAGAAGGCGACCCAGCCCGCGACGCCGGCCAUCCCCACGCAGGAGGAGCCCGCCCCGGAGAAUGCCUCCCCCACCCAGGCACAGGAGGAGCAGAUCCCCCGUGAGGCGGAGAAGACGCUCCUCGGCCUCGCUGUCCGGCAGCAGCUCCUCCUCGUCCUCGUCGCGCUCCCGCUCUCCACCAAAGAAGCCUCCCAAGAGACCCGUGUCCAGCCCCCCCCGCAAAACGCGCCGGCUGUCCCCCUCGGCCAGCCCCCCCCGGCGCCGCCACCGGCCCUCACCCCCUGCCAGCCCCCCGCCCAAGCCCCGCCGCUCGCCCACCCCCCAGCAGUCCAACCGCGCCCGCAAGAGCCGCGGCUCUGUCUCACCCAGCAGGGCUUCAGCACCCAAACAUAAGAGUACUGAGAAAAGAGAGUCUCCUUCGCCAGCACCCAAACCCAGGAAAGCAGAAUUGUCGGAAUCAGAAGAAGACAAAGGAGGCAAAAUGGCUGCAGCAGAUUCUGUCCAACAGAGGCGCCAGUACAGGAGGCAAAAUCAACAGUCUUCAUCUGAUUCUGGUUCUUCAUCUUCCUCAGAAGAGGAGAGGCCCAAGAGGUCGAACGUGAAGAACGGGGAGGUGGGCAGGCGCCACCGGCACUCGCACUCGCGCAGCCCCUCGCCCCGCAAGCGCCAGAAGGAUUCCUCCCCUCGGAUGCAGAUGGAAAAGAGGUGGCAAUCACCAGUGAUGAAAAGCAGGAGGAGGAGGAGCCCCUCGCCGCCCCCCGCGCGCCGGCGCCGCUCCCCUUCCCCGGCGCCGCCGCCCCGGCGCCGCCGCUCCCCAUCCCCACCUCGCCGAAGGUCUCCAUCACCACCCCCGCGCAGACGUUCUCCCUCUCCACGGAGAUACUCCCCCCCGAUCCAGAGGCGAUACUCCCCAUCUCCCCCUCCCAAGAGAAGAACAGCUUCUCCUCCUCCCCCUCCCAAAAGAAGGGCCUCCCCUUCCCCCCAGUCCAAGCGCAGAGUCUCUCACUCCCCACCGCCAAAACAGAGGAGCUCCCCUACUGCUAAACGGCGCUCCCCUUCCGUAUCUUCCAAGCACAGGAAGGGGUCUCCUCCCAGCAGAUCCAACAGGGAAACACGUUCUCCACCACAAAACAAAAGGCAUUCACCUUCACCACGGCCUCGAGCUUCCCACCCCUCCUCCAGCCCUCCGCCACCACGCCGGGGAGCGUCGGCGUCGCCGCAGAGGAGACAGUCACCCUCGCCCAGCACCAGGCCCAUCAGGAGGGUGUCCAGAACGCCAGAACCCAAGAAAACAAAGGCUUCCACCCCCAGCCCCCGGCGCGUGUCCUCGUCCCGAUCUGCGUCAGGGUCACCUGAGACAGCUCCCAAAAAACACCAAGGACCUGCAUCUCCUGCCCGGUCUCGCUCUCCUUCUGCAAACUGGUCACCUGCAAAAAAGGCCAAGAGCCCAACUCAGAGCCCAUCACCUGCCAGGAAUUCAGAUCAAGAAGGUGGUGGCAAGAAGAAGAAGAAAAAGAAGGAUAAGAAGCAUAAAAAGGAUAAAAAGCACAAGAAACACAAAAAGCAUAAGAAGGAGAAGGCGGCGGCGGCUGCAGUAGCUGCUGCCGUGGCUCCAGCAGACACCACCUCAGCACAGGGAGACCAGGAAGCAGAGACAGAGCCCAAAAAGGAGACAGAAAGUGAACCCGAGGACAACCUGGAUGACCUCGAAAAGCACCUGCGGGAGAAGGCCCUGAGGUCCAUGAGGAAGGCGCAGGUGUCCCCCCCUUCCUAGGCCAACCCUUUGAUAUAAUUUCAGAAAUGACCCUGCAGGUUCCUGGUGUGAUGAGGCAGGAGCUACCUGGAUCUGUUCAUGCUGAAUUUUGGCUUCCUGACCCAGGCCACCCUCAUGAAGUGACAGACACAGGGUUUAGGUAUCUUCCUGCAGAAGGAAGAAGUCCAAAUCUUUGUUUCCUGAUGCUCACAGCAGAGGACAGGCUGAUAUCUGAAUUUGGAAAGUAGGGCAGUGAGAAACCCCGGGCAGAGCACGGCAACAGCCUCCUGCUGAAAGGGGAGAGUCAGGCAUUCAAUUACUCCUGUCGUGUGUGUGGUCCUGGGAGCCAACUUUCCUUUUCCCCUUCCUCAGAUAUCACCUCCAAAGGCAGGGAGGUGACAAACACUUCAACUUCCCUGUGAUCCAAAGGAAGUGAGGUGAAAGCUGUGCCUGUGUCAGCAUUCCCAAAAAGCUGCCCCCGGUGCCUCUGUGAGGGGACCCACGGCAGAGGGAAACCUGCAGACAAUGCCUGCUUUGUCCCCUCCCUGCUUCUCGUGCUCCCUGAGAUGCUGAGUCCAAACAUUUAACCACAAAAUGCAUUAAUUACCAUCCAGCUCCCCGGGGAAAGGACCAUAUGCCAGUAUCCAGGGGAAACAAAAAAGGAAGAAGCACGGAAAGGCCAUUGAUUAUUAAAUUACUCCAAGUGCAAUUACUGCCACCGAAAGUUCUUGAUGAACAUUUCCUAGAAACGUUGAGUUCUCCACCCUCUGCGCUCGGAGCGGUGCUAACUUGGACCAUGGAGCACAGGAGUGACCCAGAAAUUGUGGGAUGAGGUCACCUUCCCACAUAAUGCCACGGGAUGUGUCCUGUGUAAUUCUGCUCAGCCUGCAGCACAGAGCUGUUUUCUGUGGAUUUCUCCCCAGUGACAGCUGUGAGCUCCAGGGCCGGCUCCACGCGUGCCCUCAGCUGCUCACUGCAGCUAAUCCUAAAGUUUGGCAGCCACCCCGGAGGAAAAUGAGCCAUCCAGGGACAGCUGGUUGGGAAUCACAGCAAACUGCAAACAGUCUGACACCAGCAGAAGUUGCGUUUCCCCCGCAAUCCUUGGAAAUCUGGCAAACCAAACCCUGCUCGACGCAGGGGCAAGAAAAGAUGAAUGAGCCAUAACAAAUUCAUCCCUCCCAGGAGGCAGGUGAGGGAUGGAGCCCAAAACCCUUCUCGGUGCCUGCAUGGGAGGGAGGAACGUGGAGCUCCUGGGAUUUCUCUGCUGAUGGGGCAGCAGCUCAGCAGAGCAUCUGUGACACGAGGGCUGGGCCUGCGGUGGCUGCGUUUCUGCUGCUGCAUCCCAGCCCAGGAUCCCGAAUUAGCUGUGGAAUGGGAAUGCUGGUAUUUAUAACCAGGGUGUGUCAGUCCUGCUUUCCUUUAAUAGGUGUCCCUGGGCAGGUUCCUCUCCCAGCUGUGUCCAGCAUGGCUUUCAGGAGCUCUAAUGAACCUGGCAGUCAGGACAGGCUCCUGCUUCCAGCCACAGCCAGCACUGGAUGCUCUCCUUCCCAGACCUCCUCAGCAUCUUUCUUCUCACAGCAGUUUCAUGAUAAUUUAAAAAAUGGGAUGUUCUUACAUGUGUCCCACUGAGUGACAACAUGACCUGUGUGCUGAGCUCCCUCCACGCCUGAAAAAUUCCCCGUGGAAAUAAAAACCCAUUUUUGAGCCCUGGGGUCAGUGUGGCAGAGAAUUCCACCAGAGGAACAUGCACAGCCAGGGCAGGAGAGGGCCUGCUUUGAUAUCUUUAACAUCUGAUGCCUCCAGUUUCAAAAGCACUUGGAAAGUUGGAAAAACUGAUGCAGAAAGGCCAAAACUGCCAGAGAAAUGAAACAAUCUCACGUUGUUUUGCUGCUCGGCCAAAUGGGGACAAAGCUCCUGAAUGCAGCAAAAAAUAAUAUUGAGGGAGUGACCCACUGAGCACACGUGGGGGGCCAGAGUUGCUUUGUUCUCACUCCAGGGCUUGGUGCAAAUUUAGCUUUGAGUAAGUCACCGAACCUUCCUGACUCAUUCCUCACUGUUGUUAAAGGUGGGUGAUGCUCAUUUCUCUAUGGAUUGUUAGGAGCACUGGUGAUUUAUUAUGUAAAGCAUGGACAAAUUAAUUCUAAGUGUUCUAGAAAAGAAAUAAAUAAAUCCAGAAUAAUACAAACAGCAAUUACUGAAGGAGGAAAGAAUUGAAAGCUUUCAGACUGAACAUUGUUGGAGGUUUCACUUGAAUGGGGAGCACAAGCGGUUUGGUAAGUGGUAGCUGGAAACCAGGAAAAUGUCAUCUGAAAGUGAAAUAAUUGAAAAGAUAUUAAAGCAGAGCCGGGGCUGGUGCAGCUGAGUAUAAAUGAAAUAAGCUAUUAGCUGCUCUGCAAGAUAGCAGCAGGGGAGAGCUUUUGUUGGAGCAGAAAUGCAGCAGCAGUGAGGGAAAAACAACCCUGGCAGCUCCUUUGUGGGGCUGGGAAACAUAAAAAGGCCCUGAGAGCCUUGCAGACCUCAAAUUUGUUGCUCUACACCCACUUUUGCGGGCGCUGUGGGAGAGCUGUUUCUUUGUGCUAAACCACUGCCUGUUCUCGAGCAGGUGGGCCUGUGCUGUGGGGAGCCCUGGGAAGUACUGCAAGUUUGACAAAACCCUAGGAUUUUAAACUUUUUGGUGGAGCAGAGAGGGAGGCUUGGUCCUUGGCUCAGGGGGAGUACUUGGCUCAGCGUUCCUUGUCCUGGAAUAGGGACUCAGCUCCUUCCUUUCCCAGCAGACAGAGGAUCCAACUUUCCUUUGCCCCUCGUUAAACCAGUCCCACAUUUGGCCCCAAAUGGUGUAAAUUUCUUACUCUGCCAUGCAAGAUGAAGCUCAUGUGAUGAAUGCAAAGCCUAAGACAGAUGCUUGUGGAGACUCUGGGACAACCCCAUUUAAGG